rnacentral:rRNA from 1 species
GCUUACGGCCAUACCACCCUGAGAACGCCCGAUCUUGUCUGAUCUCGGAAGCUAAGCAGGGUAGGGCCUGGUUAGUACUUGGAUGGGAGACCGCCUGGGAAUACCAGGUGCUGUAAGCU